GAUGAAGAACGCAGCGAAAUGCGAUAAGUAAUGUGAAUUGCAGAAUUCAGUGAAUCAUCGAAUCUUUGAACGCACCUUGCGCCCUUUGGCUAUUCCGAAGGGCAUGCCUGUUUGAGUAUCAUGAAAACCUCAACUCUCAUGGCUUGCCAUGAUGAGCUUGGACUCUGGGGGUCUUGCUGGCUUUACGGUCAGCUCCUCUCAAAUAAAUCAGCUUGCCGGUGUUUGGUGGGAUCACAGGUGUGAUAACUAUCUACGCUUGUGGUGUUCCGCCAGGUAACCUUCAGCAAUGGAGGUUCGCUGGAGCUCAUAAAUGUCUCUCCUCAGCGAGGACAGAUUUUGACCGUUUGAUCUCAAAUCAGGUAGGACUACCCGCUGAACUUAAGCAUAUCAAUAAGCGGAGGA
rnacentral:misc_RNA from 1 species